rnacentral:lncRNA from 1 species
ACUGUCUGCAUGCCAGACACGAUCCAAUGAGAAGCACAGGCGUGGUGGCUAUUCAGCUGCUCAUCAGCACGCAGCCUGAACUGCAGACAGAUGGCCUCCCUGAACCUGGAGCCAGACAUCCAGCAUCAGAGUUACCUGUGUCUCUUCACAGCUCACCUGGCCUGUGAGUGGGAUGCUCCUCAGCACCUCGGACAGCUCCAGAUAAUGAAUUGGCUCUCUUCAUCUUUGCUUUGCUGCUACCUAGAAAAUAGAUGUAUCCAUCCACACAGAAAAUGGGAGCCAUUGUAAUCAUUGGUGUAAGAAGAACAUGCAUUUCUAAUGCCAAGGAACACUGUGUGUCUUUGGUUUAGAUGUUCCAAAGAUGAAAACACGGAGCACGCAGAAGAUGGAGGACACAAGAGUUCUCAUUUGUAAGCAAAAAUCACCAGUUAAUUGUGUGGCGAAUUUAACCAGACAAGUAAAAUGCACUAAAGACUUUUGGAUAGUCAAUGGAAUCUUCAGGAAAGCCAGCUGAUCUCUCCAGAGGAGAUCUACCCAUGAAGAAUAAAAUGUACUCCCCAAAUACCUAGCCUGAGAGAGGUGCCACCAUUGCUGUCUCUGCAGAUGCCCUGUCG